UACGUAGGGGGCAAGCGUUGUCCGGAUUUAUUGGGCGUAAAGAGCUCGUAGGUGGUUCGGUAAGUCGGAUGUGAAAUCUCCAGGCUCAACCUGGAGGGGUCAUUCGAUACUGCCGUGACUAGAGGUCGGUAGGGGAGUGUGGAAUUCCUGGUGGAGCGGUGAAAUGCGCAGAUAUCAGGAGGAACACCGAUGGCGAAGGCAGGUCUCUGGGCCGAUACUGACGCUGAGGAGCGAAAGCGUGGGGAGCGAUCCGG
rnacentral:rRNA from 1 species